rnacentral:tRNA from 1 species
UCUCUUGUAGCUCAGUUGGUUAGAGCACUGCACCGGAAUCGCAGGGCCGUAGGUUCAAUUCCUACCGGAGGAC